GCGCCCAUAGCUCAGCUGGAUAGAGCAACGGCCUUCUAAGCCGUAGGUCGCAGGUUCGACUCCUGCUGGGCGCG
rnacentral:tRNA from 1 species